rnacentral:lncRNA from 1 species
UGAGAGCAAACUGCAUGAAGAUAGUACAGACAGAUGCCAAAAAAGAGGGCCCCCAUCAGCCCAGUAUGCCCUGCUGUGAACCACCAGCGUGCCAGGAUGCUGCUGAAAAACAAAUGGAAGCUGGCAGCAGCUGAAGGCCUGUGGUGGUUGACCAAUCUGCUCUGAGCUGUUCCAGGAGCCUCCAGAGAACAAGAGGUAUGACAACUUUAUUUCAAAUAUCUUGGGAGGAUAGAAACUGGAACAGUGUAUGUCCUCUGUGGUAUGGCACAAAAUAGAGAAGCACUUAGUGGAUGUUUCUUAUAGCCCAGGUCUCUCCUAGGUGCAACAAGGUCUCACACCUAAGCUAUCUCCUACACUUAAUCUCUUAUUGAGUUUGGAUAAACUGAAUAUAUACUCGUCCAGGCUUACAGCUUACAGAAUUCUCAGUGUGAGCGGCCUGACAGAAAAAGAAAUAUUUUGAUUUUGAGUCCUAAGGGAGGAGCAUGAGGUACAACUGCUCCCUGGGGAUACAGUAGUAAAAAGAAGUCUGCAGAUUGAAGUUUAGCUUGUU